AGGAAAGCCAGCGCUGAUUUCUCCACUACCUGCACCUCUCUCACCUUGUGUGUGCAGGACUUUGCUCAGCUCACCCCAUUUCCUGGGUUCAAACAUCUCCCAGUGCUUCCUUCUUCACUGGUGAUCACCCUUCAGGCUGCAGUGCUGGGCACUCCUGGGGCUGUCACUCCUCAAGGACUGGCCACACCUUGGUGUCCCCACCAAUGCCAGCAGUGCUUUCUCCACUGGACUACAAGGUUUCUCCCCAAGCUUCAAUUCCUGACUUAGAAAGCCUCGUUCUCCUGCCUCAUUCCCAUCCUGCAUCUCCCUAAAAAAACCUCCAUAAAACAACAGCUGAGGACACCCUGUAACCCCUCCCGUGGUGUGAAGGCACCUCCUGAUGUUGGGACACCACCAAGACAAAGCUAAAGCUGACACAUCCUCCCUCCCAAGGACGGGAGCUGGGCUUGGAGCCCGGAGAAGAUGCUUCCCUGCCAUUAAUGGGAUGAAAUAAUGCAAAAUU
rnacentral:lncRNA from 1 species